AUUGAACGCUGGCGGCAGGCUUAACACAUGCAAGUCGAGCGAGCGGCGGACGGGUGAGUAAUGUCUGGGAAACUGCCUUAUGGAGGGGGAUAACUACUGGAAACGGUAGCUAAUACCGCAUACCAUCAGAUGUGCCCAGAUGGGAUUAGCUAGUAGGGGGGGGAAUGGCUCACCUAGGCGACGACCGCUAGCUGGUCUGAGAGGAUGACCAGCCACAGUGGGACGGAGACACGGGCCAGACUCCUAAGGGAGGCAGCAGGGGGGAAUAUUGGACAAUGGGCGCAAGCCAGAUGCAGCCAUGACGCGUGUAUGAAGAAGGCCUUCGGGUUGUAAAGCACUUUCAGCGAGGAGGCGUUACUCGCAGAAGAAGCACCGGCUAACUCCGUGCCAGCAGCCGCGGUAAUUC
rnacentral:rRNA from 1 species